rnacentral:rRNA from 1 species
GGUUAGUGGCGAACGGUCGCGUAACACGUAAGCAACCUGCCUCGAAGUUUGGGAUAACAGUCUGAAAAGACUGCUAAUACCGGAUGUGGUCCAUUAUCGGCAUCGGUGAUGGUCUAAAGAUUUAUUGCUUCGAGAUGGGCUUGCGGCCUAUCAGGUAGUUGGUGGGGUAAUGGCCUACCAAGCCGACGACGGGUAGCUGGUCUGAGAGGACGAUCAGCCGGAUUGGGACUGAGAUACGGCCCAGACUCCUACGGGGGGCAGCAAUUAGGAAUCUUGCACAAUGGGGGAAACCCUGAUGCAGCGACGCCGCGUGAAGGAUGAAGGAUUUCGGUCUGUAAACUUCUUUUGACAGGGAAGAAAAAAAUGACGGUACCUGUCGAAUCAGCCCCGGCUAACUACGUGCCAGCAGCCGCGGUAAUACGUAGGGGGCGAGCGUUGUCCGAAUUUACUGGGCGUAAAGCGCGCGUAGGCGGUUUCUUAAGUCUGGGGUGAAAGGUUCAACACUCAACGUGAACAGUGCCUUGGAUACUGGGAGACUUGAGUCUGGGAGGGGGUAGUGGAAUUCCUGGUGUAGCGGUGAAAUGCGUAGAUAUCAGGAGGAACACCGGUGGCGAAGGCGGCUACCUGGCCUAAGACUGACGCUGAGGUGCGAAAGCGUGGGGAGCGAACGGGAUUAGAUACCCCGAUAGUCCACGCCGUAAACGAUGAGUGCUAGGUGUAGGGGGUAU